UACAGAGGGGGCAAGCGUUGUUCGGAAUUACUGGGCGUAAAGAGCGCGCAGGCGGUCGUUCAAGUCGCGUGUGAAAGCCCCCGGCUCAACUGGGGAGGGUCACGCGAUACUGACCGACUCGAAGGCAGGAGAGGGAAGUGGAAUUCCCGGUGUAGUGGUGAAAUGCGUAGAUAUCGGGAGGAACACCAGUGGCGAAGGCGACUUCCUGGCCUGUUCUUGACGCUGAGGCGCGAAAGCUAGGGGAGCAAACAGG
rnacentral:rRNA from 1 species